CACACUAAACUAGAAACAGAAACCCCAUUUUUAUUAAUCGCUGUUGAAUUUGUAUGGCUCUCUUCCUUGUGCCAGUCAGAGCUAGCUGCUGGCUGAUGCAACACAUGAAGGUCAUCUUUAUAAAGCACAGUGCGACUGGCCGUUCACUCUGAACAUUCACACCCAAGCAUCAUUCGGGAAUUCUUCCAAAAACACCUUCUGGAGAAUUAACAGCGGCAGAAUCUCAUGACAAAAAGGAACAGGAGACAAAGGUAAAGAGCCGGAGUGCCCAUGUUACCAGAGUAUCGGUCGUCCUUGGUCUAAGACCACCCACCAAGGCCAGAGGAUGAGUGUGAGCUUGGUCCCACCGUGGACAUUGGUUCAGUUCUAGGGAUCCGAACCUGGAACCAAGCCAAAGGGAGCAACCUUUCCUGGUUUGACUGGGUAUCGCCCACUCACAGACAAGAGGACUCUAUAUGCAAAGUGAGAGCAAGAUGAGUAAGGAGGACAGCCCGAAGUCCCUCUGGGGCAAACGCAACACAAAUGGAGAAAGAGGAUCAGCUGCAAGUGAUGGAUGCAGUAAGUUUUCUGCUUGGUGUGACUCCUGUGCCAGAAGAAACCAUUGAACCCCAAGAUCAGGUUUUAACCUUAACUUGGAGAGAAUACAGCAAGGUGGGCCAAACCAGCAUGGCACAGCCCUUUGCUGAUCAAGCUGCAGGCCCACAGGCCCAGGAGAGUGUGUGUUCCUCAUGGCUGGGUAACGACAGCCUUUCAGUCAGAGACAGAUAGGAAAACAAGAAGGAUUAAAAACUGGCUCUUCUCUCUAAGAUACUCCAGACAUGGGGUGCUGUGGAGAUGGCGGUUGGAGGGUGUUGGUGUUCUGUCUAAACUCCACUCCCACAGUUACCUGGCAACAGCCAGGUAUGCUCCGCCCCACAGUUGCCUGGCAACAGCCAGGUUUGCCUGACACUGAUAUAAGGGGCUGCUUGGCCCUUCCUCCCUCUCUUGCUCUUUGCUCUCUUCUCUCCCCAUUCUCCUCCCCCUUCCCUCCACCUGCUCAUGGCUGGCCUUUAUUCUUUUCCUCUUGUACUCUUCUUCUCUCAUUAAACCUUUCCAUGUGGAA